rnacentral:ncRNA from 12 species
AGCCUAAGUCCUGCACAAAGGAUAUGGCAAUAUAAGAAUCUCACACUAAUAAAGACGGUCUUCCGACCAGCACUUAUUAGUGUGAGUUUAUACCCGAAAGGGUGUAAGGCAUUCCGAAAGGAUUGUC